AUUUACAAAUGUUUUCAUUAUUUUUUCAACACAUUCAGCGAGUUAAUGCAAAGAAUCAAAAUUUGAACUGAAAUAGCUGAAGUUAUUAGCAAUAAAAUACCAUUAUAUAAUAAUUAUUAUUAUACGGAUUCAACGCAUCCAAAGACAUGGCCUCAGGUGGGUCCGAUCCAAGGUAUAGAGCUUUUUUUUGUGGUCCUGUGUAAUUCACCGAGUAGAAUUGUUAGUGCAUCAAAAUGUUAUUUAUGAAUUCAAUUUUUCAAUUAAAUUGUGAAAUAACAAUCCACAAAAAAAAAAUCUAGAGAACGGUUGAUCCUGUAGAUCAGCUCCAAAAAUAUCCCGCUGUUUCGAGUCCGAAAACAUUAUUGUGAAUACACUUUAAAUCUCUUCGUGCUCAAAAAUACUCUUUAUACAUCGGGUUUUUCGAGCUCGAAGUUGUCUUACCUUGCACUAUAAAAAUUUAAAAAAUCAAAAAUAAUUCAAAAAAACAAGUAACUCUUUCAUUUUUGUUUACGAUUGUUGUUAUCGAGGCGUAUUUAUUCGGGCAGAUAUAAAUCGUUUUGUGGACGGAAUUUCCUAAACCAUCGACCUGAUUACAAUGGACUAUGCGAUGAUUACAAGAGACUGUUAAAGAUGAUAAUUUAGUGAAAUUUUUGACACAAUUAGUCAAUAAUAGUAUUUGCGAUCCGGGAAAAUUAAGCUGGAAGUUAAAAAUCGUCAAAUUUUUAAGUUUAAUGCGAAAAAUUGGAGCUAACUGAAUGAGCUUCAGAAAAAUCUUUGAUGAUGAUGCACUAUGGGUUUUGGUUUAAAAGUUGUUUCAAGAUACGUAUACAUACGUUAAAUAUUUGGACCAAUGGUAUUGUUGGAACCUAUUCGAUGAAUUAUGAUAAAUUAUGGCAUUAUUCUUUGAAAGUUUUACCAUA